UUAGAGAGGUGCUGCAGUUACCUGGGCACCAGGUGGAUAGAAAGACAAAAAUCAAACAAACGUGCUUUUUCGUUCACGUGCGUUUGUUACAGUUGGCUUAUUUCAGUUUCUGUGGCAGAGGUCCAUCCAUACGGGUCUCGAGGGUGGAAAUAUGGACGUUAUUUUUAUUUUUAUAGCAAAAACUGACAACGGCGCAAUGGUAGAGUGCAAACUGCAUCAGGCACAGAAACAUCCGCAAUAUGCUGCUAACACAGCUUAAGCUCUUUGAAGAUGACAGCUGGAGUUUGAGUCUCUGAUAUAUGGAGAACAGAGCACACCUCCAACCACAUUCCCAGAUGGCACUGGGGGACAACAGGACAGAAAAACAGGUAACAAAGUGAAAGAGACGUGAAACAGAAGAGAGAGCUGAGCGUCUGCAGCUGCUGAGAUGUGAUGUUUCUGGAUGUUCCCCCCACACAGACAAAUAAACAGCACUUUAAAGACAUUCGUAGGUUCAAAUGUAAAAUGCUUUGGUGUUUUUGGUGUUGAGGCCAAAGAGACCUUCUGUAUUUGCUCUGUCAAACUGUGUCUUUGGCAUUUUUCAAAUACUCAACUAAAGAAAUGGGAACAAAUAUGUGUUUGUCUGGUUGCACAACACACGAUUUUUAAUGAGCUGUCUUGUGCUUGAAGACACAACACAGGCUCAUCCCUUAAGUUAGAU